rnacentral:rRNA from 1 species
GUGGGGAAUUUUGGACAAUGGGCGCAAGCCUGAUCCAGCAAUGCCGCGUGCAGGAAGAAGGCCUUCGGGUUGUAAACUGCUUUUGUACGGAACGAAACGGUCCGGGUUAAUACCCUGGGCUAAUGACGGUACCGUAAGAAUAAGCACCGGCUAACUACGUGCCAGCAGCCGCGGUAAUACGUAGGGUGCAAGCGUUAAUCGGAAUUACUGGGCGUAAAGCGUGCGCAGGCGGUUUUGUAAGACAGGCGUGAAAUCCCCGGGCUCAACCUGGGAAUUGCGCUUGUGACUGCAAGGCUGGAGUGCGGCAGAGGGGGAUGGAAUUCCGCGUGUAGCAGUGAAAUGCGUAGAUAUGCGGAGGAACACCGAUGGCGAAGGCAGUCCCCUGGGCCUGUACUGACGCUUAUGCACGAAAGCGUGGGGAGCAAACAGGAUUAGAUACCCCAGUAGUCC